rnacentral:rRNA from 1 species
GUAGGUGGCAAGCGUUGUCCGGAAUUAUUGGGCGUAAAGCGCGCGCAGGGCGGUCCUUUAAGUCUGAUGUGAAAGCCCACGGCUCAACCGUGGAGGGUCAUUGGAAACUGGGGGACUUGAGUACAGAAGAGGAAAGCGGAAUUCCAAGUGUAGCGGUGAAAUGCGUAGAGAUUUGGAGGAACACCAGUGGCGAAGGCGGCUUUCUGGUCUGUAACUGACGCUGAGGCGCGAAAGCGUGGGGAGCAAACAGGAUUGGAUACCCUGGUAGUCCACGCCGUAAACGAUGAGUGCUAAGUGUUAGGGGGUUUCCGCCCCUUAGUGCUGCAGCUAACGCAUUAAGCACUCCGCCUGGGGAGUACGGCCGCAAGGCUG